UUCCCACAUCCAGUGCCACCGGAGCUGGCAGUUUUACUGCUGGUCCUGGUCGUGGCCGACCACGGUAGCGCACCAGCCAGGUUGUUGUUACUGUUGGUUCUGAUCGUGGUCAUGUCACAGCGUUGCGAGUGCUAUCACCUGCAGGUUUGCUGCGCUACUGCCUUUUUCUCAUGUUGAAAGUAUUGCAUGAUUUUGCAAGACUGUAAAAUCCAACUGCAAUGCUGGUAUUGUUAUGUUAACCUUGCCACAAAGCAAUCAAUUCAUGGAAUCUUCUUGAAUUGCACCAACAACUUUCACAGUACUGCUGUAGAUGAAGAGUAAGCUCCUCCAUCUCACUUAUGAAAUGAUGUUUAAGAAUACCAAUAUAGACUGUUACCACCCAUCACUUCUUUUUAUCCGGACACAAGCGCGGGCAGUGUACCUUGUGCUUCAUGAUGUACGGAGUACCUGUAAUUUUAAGCCCUUAAGUUUGUCCGUGCUACCAUUAACAUUUUUCCAUCAUCCGAUUUGAUGAAACAUUUUGUGAAGCUAGGAUCAUACUCCAUGAUGCAUACAGCUUAUUUAACUACUGCCCUCCUGAGUCUAGGAUAAUACGCAGUACGAUACAUAUUAGCUUUAAGUGAAUUGAUGAGGUCUUUUAUAAAUCCUUCCUUAGUCUGGCCAUGCUCUAGUUCUUGGGUCAAGUCUCCAGGAAUGGCUUUACAUAUGUGUGAAGUAACGCCACCAAGGACCUCUAUCUCCACUCAUAAUUGAUUCCAAAACCUGUAUUGGGAAUAGUUAGAUGCUGAUCUCAGUUUAGUGUUUGUUCACACCUUUUUGAUGUGCACAUACUUGCUCUGUAGCAUGUUAUAUUAGUCGCCCAUCGGCAAUGUCUGUUGAGGGAGAUUUGUUCUGAUUUUUAGCAUCCCCUGAAUCAACUAAGCGGGUUUUGAUAAAAUACUUAAGUUACUUUUAUUAUCUGACUAAGUUGAUUUUUAUCAUCCAAACUAAGUUUAUUAUAAGAGAUGGUACUAGUUGCAUAUUAUCUAAUGACUUAACUAGGUUGCUUUUUGUAGUCUGGAUAAGUUGCUUUCCAUCAUCUAACCUAAUUUUAACUAACAACCAAAUGCCCCUCAAUUUUAUAGUAAUUCUAAUUAAGUUGCUUUAAUCACCAUGCUUAACUUGUUCCCAUCACUUAACCUAAGUUUUGAUAAAUGAUACUCUAUCUAAGGUUGCAACUACAUCAGUAGUAAGCAACUUACCCAGGAAUUGAGCUUUCACUCAGUAUUGUAGCAGGUUUGCUAGAACAAUGCAAAUCUGAGUUUUGGAGAUGGGAAUGGUUGGCCGUGGGAGAUAUAUUAACUUACACUUACCUUACACUAUGUUGAUGGCUAACAUCCAUGAAAAAUUGCAGGCAAACACAAAGUGAGACCAAUUAAACCAACGAAACAGUUGUAAGAGUCUUGCUAACGGCCUAGACAUUGAAUGUUGAGAUUAUGUAUUGUUCUAUACUUCAUAUCUGCAUUUAGAGUGUGGGGCCUUGUUCAGGCACAGUGUUGUAUUGCAUCUGUAUUGUCUGUUCGAAGAAUUCACUUAAUUAUUACCCACAAUAAAUGUUCAUAUAUCCAUGUACGGCUGAGCGACUGUGAUUUGGGUGAGUGACUGAGUGUGGCUCCUGUGAGCCAAAAAUCCGCUCUGCUAAAGUAGUAUACUGAAUUCAGUUAAGUUACCUUUUAGUUAGGUAGCUAAGUUGUUUUAUGUGCAAUAAAAGUUGACUUGGCAUCAAUUUUAAGUUGCGUUUUGUUUUCUAUCUAAGUUGCAUACAGGCUGCCUUAUUUUUUGUUAAAGCUAUAUGCAUAAAGGUGGGCUUUUUUGCUAUCAUGAUUUAAGUUGCUUUUUGCUAAAUACAUGUUUUUAUUACACCUUUACCAUAGCGGAGUCCCCGACGGCGUAAAGCUAUAUGGGCUAGCUGUUUUUUAAUAAAACUAUAUGCAUAAAGGUGGGCGAAUGUCAUUUUAAGUUGAAUUAUCAUAAUGAUCAAGUUAUUUUUGCUAAAUACCUAAGUUGCAUAUUGAUUGUAGUUCUGUUCUCCCCUUUUCUUAUUAGGCGCUUAACAUAAUGUCUAUUCAUCAUGGUGUUUUUUUAUUUCUCUAAUUAUUUGCAUACGUUACAUUUGUUGUUCCACAACACACAGUUGUUUUUUAUCUACCUGGAGUAUGCAUUUCGCAUUUUUCUUGUGAAAUAUGCAUUUGGCCUUUGUAGGUUCGUGUUGUUUCUUAAGUUGCUUAUUAUGUUUCAUCAAGUUGAUUAUCCACUUUAGAUUAAGAUGUUUUACGCUUUCUCCUAAGUUGCAGCAUGUAGUCAACCAAGUUGCAGUUUCCAGUCUAACUAAGUUGCUUCAUCGGACAGCUUGGUUUACCCACUUACGCUAACACAUUGUAUCAGGGACCGGUGGAUCCAAGGCGACAUAGCUAGUAACAUCUCCAGGGCGGUAGUGGAGGAGGCCAUGGUGCCUAGCUCGAGUAGGUGGUGGCGCCACGAUGUGUAGCGUGAGCGCAAGCCCGCCGUGGUUACUGGGCAACGAGAAGAUCAUGUGUUAUUUUGAGAUCUACUCGCACUUUCCAAUUCCAUGGAGUUUUAGAGUAGUUCGUCUUGUAGAAAGGAAGAAGACUUGGAGUAGUUUGUCUUACAGAAAGGAAGAAAACUUGGAGUAACUCGUCUUGCAGAAAGGAAGUAGAGCCGGAUUAGUUUGGCAAGUGCAUCACACACGCUAAUGUCUAUUUUUUUCCUUGCGUGUAACCUCGUUUUUCUUGGUUGAGUGCUGAAUUGGUCUAACAAGCACCUGGAUGCUGGGUUGGACAAAACAGCACCCGGAUGCUGGGAUGGACAAACCAGCACCGGAUGCUAGCUAGCCAC